GCGGGAGCAGGGAGCGCCGGGACCAAGGAGGGUCGGAGGCGGGCCGGGACCAUGCGGGGCGUCGGGAGCCGGGGGGACCGGCGGGGUUCCGGGAGCCGGGGGGGCCGGCGGAGUUCCGGGAGCCGGGGAGGCCGGCGGAGGUUCAGGGGCCGGGGUGACCGGCGGAGGUUCAGGGGCCGGGGUGACCGGCGGGGGUUCAGGGGCCGGGGUGACCGGCGGAGGACCGGAAGCCAGGGGAGGACCGGCGGCCGGGGGAGCCGGCGAAGGUCUAUGACUCGGCUGAGGAUCAGGGGCCGGCUGAGGGUCAGGGGCCGGCUGAGGGCCAGGGGCCGGCUGAGGGCCAGGGGCCGGCUGAGGGCCAGGGGCCGGCUGAGGGCCAGGAGCCAGGAGAGCCGGCUGAGGGCCAGGAGCCAGGAGAGCCGGCUGAGGGCCAGGAGCCAGGAGAGCCGGCGGAGGGCCAGGAGCCGGGAGAGCCGGCGGAGGGCCAGGAGCCGGGAAAUCCGGCGGAGGGCCAGGAGCCGGGAGAGCCGGCGGAGGGCCAGGAGCCGGGAGAGCCGGCGGAGGGCCAGGAGCCGGGAGAGCCGGCGGAGGGCCAGGAGCCGGGAGAGCCGGCGGAGGGCCAGGAGCCGGGAGAGCCGGCGGAGGGCCAGGAGCCGGGAGAGCCGGCGGAGGGUCAGAGGCCGGGAGAGCCGACGGAGGGUCGGGGACCGGCUGAGGAUCCGGCUGAGGAUCCGGCUGAGGAUCCGGCGGAGGACCAGACGGAGGACCAGACGGAGGACCAGACGGAGGACCAGACGGAGGAGCCGGGGCCGGCGGAGGAGCCGG
ensembl:lncRNA